UUAAUGUUAGCCUCUUGAGGCUUUCUUUCCUUUUCUCUCCAAUAGGAGUGAGGUCUAAGAUGUGUCAUAUGCCUUUCUUCAUAAUAGUCAUGAAGUUCUUCACUUAGGCUCUUGCAAGAGUUAUGACUACUGUCGCAACCUACCCUUCGGCGGGAGGGCGACGCGUGACUCGCGGGAUGCGUGUUCCACGAAAGGAAUACGCGCGGAGUCGCCACCAACGUUUAUUUGAGGAAAACGUCGGAAAAACCGGAAAAAG
rnacentral:lncRNA from 1 species